rnacentral:misc_RNA from 1 species
CCGAGUUUACAACUCCCAAACCCCUGUGAACAUACCACUUGCUGCCUCGGCGGAUCAGCCCGCUCCCGGUAAAACGGGACGGCCCGCCAGAGGACCCCUAAACUCUGUUUCUAUAUGUAACUUCUGAGUAAAACCAUAAAUAAAUCA